UUUAAAGAGAGUUUGAUCCUGGCUCAGGACGAACGCUGGCGGCGUGCCUAAUACAUGCAAGUCGAACGAACGGAGGAAGAGCUUGCUCUUCCAAAGUUAGUGGCGGACGGGGGAGUAACACGUGGGCAACCUGCCUGUAAGUUGGGGAUAACUCCGGGAAACCGGGGCUAAUACCGAAUGAUAAA
rnacentral:rRNA from 1 species